UACGAAGGGGGCUAGCGUUGCUCGGAAUUACUGGGCGUAAAGAGCGUGUAGGCGGCCCGAUUAGUCUGCUGUGAAAGUCCAGGGCUCAACCCUGGAAUGCCGGUGGAUACUGUCGGGCUAGAGUCCGGAAGGGGCGAGUGGAAUUCCUGGUGUAGCGGUGAAAUGCGCAGAUAUCAGGAGGAACACCAAUGGCGAAGGCAGCUCGCUGGGACGAGACUGACGCUGAGACGCGAAAGCGUGGGGAGCAAACAGG
rnacentral:rRNA from 1 species